AGAGUUUGAUCCUGGCUCAGAUUAAACGCUGGCGGCAUGCCUUACACAUGCAAGUCGAACGGCAGCACGGGGGCAACCCUGGUGGCGAGUGGCGGACGGGUGAGUAAUGCAUCGGAACGUGCCCUGAAGUGGGGGAUAACGCAGCGAAAGCUACGUUAAUACCGCAUAUUCUGUGAGCAGGAAAGCAGGGGAUCGCAAGACCUUGCGCUUUGGGAGCGGCCGAUGUCGGAUUAGCUAGUUGGUGGGGUAAAGGCCUACCAAGGCGACGAUCCGUAGCGGGUCUGAGAGGAUGAUCCGCCACACUGGGACUGAGACACGGCCCAGACUCCUACGGGAGGCAGCAGUGGGGAAUUUUGGACAAUGGGCGGAAGCCUGAUCCAGCCAUGCCGCGUGAGUGAAGAAGGCCUUCGGGUUGUAAAGCUCUUUCGGCGGGGAAGAAAUUGCUUGGGUUAAUACCCUGAGUAGAUGACGGUACCCGAAUAAGAAGCACCGGCUAACUACGUGCCAGCAGCCGCGGUA
rnacentral:rRNA from 1 species